UACGAAGGGGGCUAGCGUUGCUCGGAAUGACUGGGCGUAAAGGGCGCGUAGGCGGUUCGUACAGUCAGACGUGAAAUUCCCGGGCUCAACCUGGGGGCUGCGUUUGAUACGUGCGGGCUUGAGUUCGGAAGAGGGUCGUGGAAUUCCCAGUGUAGAGGUGAAAUUCGUAGAUAUUGGGAAGAACACCGGUGGCGAAGGCGGCGACCUGGUCCGAUACUGACGCUGAGGCGCGAAAGCUAGGGGAGCAAACGGG
rnacentral:rRNA from 1 species